UACGUAAGGGGCAAGCGUUGUCCGGAUUUAUUGGGCGUAAAGAGCUCGUAGGCGGUUCCGUAAGUCGUGAAGUCAAAUCUCUGGGCUCAACCCAGAAUCGCUUCCGAUACUGCGGUGACUGGAGUCCGGUAGGGGAGUGUGGAAUUCCUGGUGUAGCGGUGAAAUGCGCAGAUAUCAGGAGGAACACCAACAGCGAAGGCAGCACUCUGGGCCGGUACUGACGCUGAGGAGCGAAAGCAUGGGGAGCGAACAGG
rnacentral:rRNA from 1 species